rnacentral:rRNA from 1 species
CCUACGGGAGGCAGCAGUGAGGAAUAUUGGUCAAUGGACGAGAGUCUGAACCAGCCAAGUAGCGUGAAGGAUGACUGCCCUAUGGGUUGUAAACUUCUUUUAUAUGGGAAUAAAAUGUUCCACGUAUGGGCUUUUGUAUGUACCAUAUGAAUAAGGAUCGGCUAACUCCGUGCCAGCAGCCGCGGUAAUACGGAGGAUCCGAGCGUUAUCCGGAUUUAUUGGGUUUAAAGGGAGCGUAGGUGGAUUGUUAAGUCAGUUGUGAAAGUUUGCGGCUCAACCGUAAAAUUGCAGUUGAAACUGGCAGUCUUGAGUACAGUAGAGGUGGGCGGAAUUCGUGGUGUAGCGGUGAAAUGCUUAGAUAUCACGAAGAACUCCGAUUGCGAAGGCAGCUCACUGGACUGCAACUGACACUGAUGCUCGAAAGUGUGGGUAUCAAACAGGAUUAGAUACCCUGGUAGUC